UACGGAGGAUGCGAGCGUUAUCCGGAUUUAUUGGGUUUAAAGGGUGCGCAGGCGGAAUGUCAAGUCAGCGGUAAAAUUUCGGGGCUCAACCCCGUCGUGCCGUUGAAACUGGCGUUCUUGAGUGAGCGAGAAGUAUGCGGAAUGCGUGGUGUAGCGGUGAAAUGCAUAGAUAUCACGCAGAACGCCGAUUGCGAAGGCAGCUUACCGGCGCUCAACUGACGCUGAGGCACGAAAGUGCGGGUAUCGAACAG
rnacentral:rRNA from 1 species